GAUACGGGACUCAUCCGAGGCCCCGUAAUCGGAAUGAGCACACUUUAAAUCCUUUAACGAGUAUCCAUUGGAGGGCAAGUCUGGUGCCAGCAGCCGCGGUAAUUCCAGCUCCAAUAGCGUAUAUUAAAGUUGUUGCGGUUAAAAAGCUCGUAGUUGGACUUGUGUCCCACGCUGUCGGUUCACCGCCCGUCGGUGUCUAACUGGCAUGGUUCGUGGGACGUCCUGCCGGUGGUGGCGAGUCGAAGGAGCGCGCCCGUCGUGGUUCACGCCGCGAUCGAGGUUGCGGUCCCGAGACGGACCCCGAUGAAAUCCUACCGCGGUGCUCUUCACCGAGUGUCGAGGUGGGCCGGCACGUUUACUUUGAACAAAUUAGAGUGCUUAAAGCAGGCCUGUUGCGCCUGAAUACUGUGUGCAUGGAAUAAUGGAAUAGGACCUCGGUUCUAUUUUGUUGGUUUUCGGAACCCGAGGUAAUGAUUAAUAGGGACAGUCGGGGGCAUUCGUAUUGCGACGUUAGAGGUGAAAUUCUUGGAUCGUCGCAAGACGGACCGAAGCGAAAGCAUUUGCCAAGUAUGUUUUCAUUAAUCAAGAACGAAAGUUAGAGGUUCGAAGGCGAUCAGAUACCGCCCUAGUUCUAACCAUAAACGAUGCCAGCUAGCGAUCCGCCGAAGUUCCUCCGAUGACUCGGCGGGCAGCUCCCGGGAAACCAAAGCUUUUGGGUUCCGGGGGAAGUAUGGUUGCAAAGCUGAAACUUAAAGGAAUUGACGGAAGGGCACCACCAGGAGUGGAGCCUGCGGCUUAAUUUGACUCAACACGGGAAACCUCACCAGGCCCGGACACUGGAAGGAUUG
rnacentral:rRNA from 1 species